UACGUAGGGGGCAAGCGUUGUCCGGAUUUAUUGGGCGUAAAGAGCUCGUAGGCGGCUCAGAAAGUCGGGUGUGAAACCUCCAGGCUCAACCUGGAGACGCCACCUGAUACUGCUGUGGCUAGAGUCCGGUAGGGGAGCACGGAAUUCCCGGUGUAGCGGUGAAAUGCUUAGAUAUCGGGAGGAACACCAGUGGCGAAGGCGGUGCUCUGGGCCGGAACUGACGCUGAGGAGCGAAAGCGUGGGUAGCAAACAGG
rnacentral:rRNA from 1 species